GACGUAGGGUGCAAGCGUUGUCCGGAAUUAUUGGGCGUAAAGAGCUCGUAGGCGGUCUGUCGCGUCGGAUGUGAAAAUCCAGGGCUUAACCCUGGACCUGCAUUCGAUACGGGCAGACUAGAGUUCGGUAGGGGAGACUAGAAUUCCUGGUGUAGCGGUGAAAUGCGCAGAUAUCAGGAGGAACACCGGUGGCGAAGGCGGGUCUCUGGGCCGAUACUGACGCUGAGGAGCGAAAGCGUGGGGAGCGAACAGG
rnacentral:rRNA from 1 species